rnacentral:rRNA from 1 species
UACAGGGGGGGCUAGCGUUACUUAACGUUACUUGGCGUAAAGGGCACGUAGACGGCCAACUAAGUCAGACGUGAAAUCCCUCGGCUUAACCGGGGAACUGCGUCCGAUACUGGAUGGCUUGAGUUUGGGAGAGGGAUGCGGAAUUCCAGGUGUAGCGGUGAAAUGCGUAGAUAUCUGGAGGAACACCGGUGGCGAAGGCGGCAUCCUGGACCGGUAUUGACGCUGAGGCGCGAAAGCUAGGGGAGCAAACGGGG